rnacentral:lncRNA from 1 species
AUGAAGAAGGAAGACAGGAAGAUCACUGGCUCAUCCUGUGCAUCAGGUACUCUGCUGGCUGUAGCAUGCUGUCUCCUGUCAUUGCUAUCUAACCAGGGCUGCCAUUUCACUUGCAGGAGUGGGAUGGAUGUAAGUAGCAGACAGUGUCUUCCUCAGGAAGGAAUAUACUUAGAGAUGGUAGUUUA